AAGACCGUACUUACUAGGAUCAUUUCUAUAGUACGCGUCCCGUCUUUGUUCCUCAACAAAGGCACUCACUAAAACUGCGAUGAUGAGCUGCAGUGUUGUCUCCUGAGCGCGAAAUCUGGAUGGGUGACCGGUGCUAAACUGCGUUGCCCUGCUUCUGAUGAUGAACGUUCCGGUUUCUCUUCCGAAAAAACAUGGAGGGAGGCGACGCCAGCUGAGUAGU